rnacentral:rRNA from 1 species
ACUACUGGAAACGGUUAGCUAAUACCGCAUAACGUCGCAAGACCAAAGAGGGGGACCUUCGGGCCUCUUGCCAUCAGAUGUGCCCAGAUGGGAUUAGCUAGUAGGUGGGGUAACGGCUCACCUAGGCGACGAUCCCUAGCUGGUCUGAGAGGAUGACCAGCCACACUGGAACUGAGACACGGUCCAGACUCCUACGGGAGGCAGCAGUGGGGAAUAUUGCACAAUGGGCGCAAGCCUGAUGCAGCCAUGCCGCGUGUAUGAAGAAGGCCUUCGGGUUGUAAAGUACUUUCAGCGGGGAGGAAGGGAGUAAAGUUAAUACCUUUGCUCAUUGACGUUACCCGCAGAAGAAGCACCGGCUAACUCCGUGCCAGCAGCCGCGGUAAUACGGAGGGUGCAAGCGUUAAUCGGAAUUACUGGGCGUAAAGCGCACGCAGGCGGUUUGUUAAGUCAGAUGUGAAAUCCCCGGGCUCAACCUGGGAACUGCAUCUGAUACUGGCAAGCUUGAGUCUCGUAGAGGGGGGUAGAAUUCCAGGUGUAGCGGUGAAAUGCGUAGAGAUCUGGAGGAAUACCGGUGGCGAAGGCGGCCUCCUGGAC